rnacentral:rRNA from 1 species
AUUGAACGCUGGCGGUAUGCUUAACACAUGCAAGUCGAACGGCAGCACGAGAAAGCUUGCUUUCUUGGUGGCGAGUGGCGGACGGGUGAGUAAUACAUAGGAAUCUACCUCGAAGCGGGGGAUAACCUGGGGAAACUCGGGCUAAUACCGCAUAAUCUCUACGGAGGAAAGCAGGGGAUCUUCGGACCUUGCACUUUGAGAUGAGCCUAUGUCGGAUUAGCUAGUUGGUAGGGUAAAGGCCUACCAAGGCGAUGAUCCGUAGCUGGUCUGAGAGGACGAUCAGCCACACUGGGAGUGGGACACGGCCCAUAAUCCGACGGGGGGCAGCAGUGGGGAAUAUUGGACAAUGGGCGCAAGCCUGAUUCAGAAAUACCGCGUGUGUGAAGAAGGCCUUCGGGUUGUAAAGCACUUUCAGUAGGGAGGAAAGGCUCAGAGCUAAUAUCUCUGAGAGUUGACGUUACCUACAGAAGAAGCACCGGCUAACUCUGUGCCAGCAGCCGCGGUAAUAC